rnacentral:rRNA from 1 species
AUUGAACGCUGGCGGCAUGCCUUACACAUGCAAGUCGAACGGCAGCGGACCUUCGGGUGCCGGCGAGUGGCGAACGGGUGAGUAAUAUAUCGGAACGUACCUUUCAGUGGGGGAUAACGUAGCGAAAGUUACGCUAAUACCGCAUAUUCUGUGAGCAGGAAAGCAGGGGAUCGCAAGACCUUGCGCUGAUUGAGCGGCCGAUAUCAGAUUAGCUAGUUGGUGAGGUAAAGGCUCACCAAGGCGACGAUCUGUAGCGGGUCUGGGAGGAUGAUCCGCCACACUGGAACUGAGACACGGUCCAGACUCCUACGGGAGGCAGCAGUGGGGAAGUUUGGACAAUGGGCGCAAGCCUGAUCCAGCAAUGCCGCGUGCAGGAUGAAGGCCUGGUUGUAACGUAGACUUUGUUACGGU